UGCACAUAUGACUGCAAUUUGCUUUGGAUAAAAGCGUCUGCUAAAUGGUAUAUA
rfam:Salmo salar isolate Sally breed double haploid chromosome ssa04, whole genome shotgun sequence.